rnacentral:rRNA from 1 species
AGCUACUAAGAGCGAAUGGUGGAUGCCUUGACUGGUAAAGGCGAUGAAGGACGUACUAGACUGCGAUAAGCUACGGGGAGCUGUCAAGAAGCUUUGAUCCGUAGAUUUCCGAAUGGGGCAACCCAAUGUAUAGAGAUAUACAUUACCUAUAUAGGAGCGAACGAGGGGAAUUGAAACAUCUUAGUACCCUCAGGAAAAGAAAUCAAUAGAGAUUGCGUCAGUAGCGGCGAGCGAAAGCGCAAGAGGGCAAACCCAGUGCUUGCACUGGGGGUUGUAGGACUGCAAUGUGCAAGAGGUAAGUUUAGCAGAACAUUCUGGAAAGUAUAACCAUAGAGGGUGAUAGUCCCGUAUGCGAAAAACAAACCUUAGCUAGCAGUAUCCUGAGUAGGGCGGGACACGAGGAAUCCUGUCUGAAUCCGGGUCGACCACGAUCCAACCCUAAAUACUAAUACCAGAUCGAUAGUGCACAAGUACCGUGAGGGAAAGGUGAAAAGAACUGAGGUGAUCAGAGUGAAAUAGAACCUGAAACCAUUUGCUUACAAUCAUUCAGAGCCCUAUGUAGCAAUACAGGGUGAUGGACUGCCUUUUGCAUAAUGAGCCUGCGAGUUGUGGUGUCUGGCAAGGUUAAGCAAACGCGAAGCCGUAGCGAAAGCGAGUCUGAAUAGGGCGCUUAGUCAGAUGCUGCAGACCCGAAACGAAGUGAUCUAUCCAUGAGCAAGUUGAAGCUAGUGUAAGAACUAGUGGAGGACUGAACCCAUAGGCGUUGAAAAGCCCCGGGAUGACUUGUGGAUAGGGGUGAAAGGCCAAUCAAACUUCGUGAUAGCUGGUUCUCUCCGAAAUAUAUUUAGGUAUAGCGUUGUGUCGUAAUAUAAGGGGGUAGAGCACUGAAUGGGCUAGGGCAUACACCAAUGUACCAAACCCUAUCAAACUCCGAAUACCUUAUAUGUAAUCACAGCAGUCAGGCGGCGAGUGAUAAAAUCCGUCGUCAAGAGGGAAACAACCCAGACUACCAGCUAAGGUCCCUAAAUCUUACUUAAGUGGAAAACGAUGUGAAGUUACUUAAACAACCAGGAGGUUGGCUUAGAAGCAGCCAUCCUUUAAAGAAAGCGUAAUAGCUCACUGGUCUAGUGAUUUUGCGCGGAAAAUAUAACGGGGCUAAAGUAAGUACCGAAGCUGUAGACUUAGUUUACUAAGUGGUAGGAGAGCGUUCUAUUUGCGUCGAAGGUAUACCGGUAAGGAGUGCUGGAGCGAAUAGAAGUGAGCAUGCAGGCAUGAGUAGCGAUAAUUAAUGUGAGAAUCAUUAACGCCGUAAACCCAAGGUUUCCUACGCGAUGCUCGUCAUCGUAGGGUUAGUCGGGUCCUAAGUCGAGUCCGAAAGGGGGUAGACGAUGGCAAAUUGGUUAAUAUUCCAAUACCAACAUUAGUGUGCGAUGGAAGGACGCUUAGGGCUAAGGGGGCUAGCGGAUGGAAGUGCUAGUCUAAGGUCGUAGGAGGUUAUACAGGCAAAUCCGUAUAACAAUACUCCGAGAACUGAAAGGCUUUUUGAAGUCUUCGGAUGGAUAGAAGAACCCCUGAUGCCGUCGAGCCAAGAAAAGUUUCUAAGUUUAGCUAAUGUUGCCCGUACCGUAAACCGACACAGGUGGGUGGGAUGAGUAUUCUAAGGCGCGUGGAAGAACUCUCUUUAAGGAACUCUGCAAAAUAGCACCGUAUCUUCGGUAUAAGGUGUGGUUAGCUUUGUAUUAGGAUUUACUCCGAAAGCAAGGAAACUUACAACAAAGAGUCCCUCCCGACUGUUUACCAAAAACACAGCACUCUGCUAACUCGUAAGAGGAUGUAUAGGGUGUGACGCCUGCCCGGUGCUCGAAGGUUAAUUGAUGGGGUUAGCAUUAGCGAAGCUCUUGAUCGAAGCCCGAGUAAACGGCGGCCGUAACUAUAACGGUCCUAAGGUAGCGAAAUUCCUUGUCGGUUAAAUACCGACCUGCAUGAAUGGCGUAACGAGAUGGGAGCUGUCUCAAAGAGGGAUCCAGUGAAAUUGUAGUGGAGGUGAAAAUUCCUCCUACCCGCGGCAAGACGGAAAGACCCCGUGGACCUUUACUACAGCUUGACACUGCUACUUGGAUAAGAAUGUGCAGGAUAGGUGGGAGGCUUUGAGUAUAUGACGCCAGUUGUAUAUGAGCCAUUGUUGAGAUACCACUCUUUCUUAUUUGGGUAGCUAACCAGCUUGAGUUAUCCUCAAGUGGGACAAUGUCUGGUGGGUAGUUUGACUGGGGCGGUCGCCUCCCAAAUAAUAACGGAGGCUUACAAAGGUUGGCUCAGAACGGUUGGAAAUCGUUCGUAGAGUAUAAAGGUAUAAGCCAGCUUAACUGCAAGACAUACAAGUCAAGCAGAGACGAAAGUCGGUCUUAGUGAUCCGGUGGUUCUGUGUGGAAGGGCCAUCGCUCAAAGGAUAAAAGGUACCCCGGGGAUAACAGGCUGAUCUCCCCCAAGAGCUCACAUCGACGGGGAGGUUUGGCACCUCGAUGUCGGCUCAUCGCAUCCUGGGGCUGGAGCAGGUCCCAAGGGUAUGGCUGUUCGCCAUUUAAAGCGGUACGCGAGCUGGGUUCAGAACGUCGUGAGACAGUUCGGUCCCUAUCUGCCGUGGGCGUAAGAAGAUUGAAGAGAUUUGACCCUAGUACGAGAGGACCGGGUUGAACAAACCACUGGUGUAGCUGUUGUUCUGCCAAGAGCAUCGCAGCGUAGCUAAGUUUGGAAAGGAUAAACGCUGAAAGCAUCUAAGCGUGAAGCCAACUCUAAGAUGAAUCUUCUCUAAGCUCUCUAGAAGACUACUAGUUUGAUAGGCUGGGUGUGUAAUGGAUGAAAGUCCUUUAGCUGACCAGUACUAAUAGAGCGUUUGGCUUAUCUUUAAUAAAGCAU